UGGAAGGGAUGGCGACAACGUUAUAUUCGAAAGGGAAUAACGCUGGAAUACCUUGCUAUUGCUACCUGUCAGAGUGCAUAAUUAUGAAGUAAAUUAGUCGGCACUGCUUAGUUGCCAAACUUGACAGUUGCUAAGACCUUCUGUCGACAAGAUACACAAACAUACAAUUCCAUGGUACUAUGUAGAGUAUUCAAAGAGGUCAUCUUCAUGAAGCUAGCAGAGGAUAGACAUUAG